AGGCGGGAUCCGAAUUGAGUUGGGUCGGGUUUUUCGAAUUCGGGUCAUAGUAUAUAUUUCCUUUUUUUUCUCAUUCUUCUUGCACACACUUUACAAACCCUAAAAAACUAAGUUGCAUCCUCUCUCCUAUCACCACCACCAAGAUCCUCAAUUCUAAACCAUAGCCAAAUCUCUGCAACAUCAUCUUCUUCACACAAAUCAAUCCUAUUAACCAAUCAAAGAUCUGAUCAUAAAAAUUGAAGGUAUGUUGUUUUAAUUUGUUGUUUAUCUAUUGUGUAUCUUUAAUCUAGCGAUUGAACAUUUAUCUUUCUGUUUUUUUUUUUUUUUUUUUUUUU